UGAGGAAUAUUGGUCAAUGGGCGAGAGCCUGAACCAGCCAAGUCGCGUGAAGGAAGACAGUCCUAAGGAUUGUAAACUUCUUUUAUACGGGAAUAACGGGCGAUACGAGUAUUGCAUUGAAUGUACCGUAAGAAUAAGCAUCGGCUAACUCCGUGCCAGCAGCCGCGGUAAUACGGAGGAUGCGAGCGUUAUCCGGAUUUAUUGGGUUUAAAGGGUGCGUAGGUUGUUCGGUAAGUCAGCGGUGAAACCUGAGCGCUCAACGUUCAGCCUGCCGUUGAAACUGCCGGGCUUGAGUUCAGUGGCGGCAGGCGGAAUUCGUGGUGUAGCGGUGAAAUGCAUAGAUAUCACGAGGAACUCCGAUUGCGAAGGCAGCUUGCCAUACUGCGACUGACACUGAAGCACGAAGGCGUGGGUAUCAAGCAGG
rnacentral:rRNA from 1 species